AUACGUAGGGGGCGAGCGUUGUCCGGAUUUACUGGGCGUAAAGGGCGUGUAGGCGGUCUUGCAAGUCAGAAGUGAAAUUCCUGAGCUCAACUCGGGCGCUGCUUCUGAAACUGCAGGACUUGAGUGCUGGAGGGGAAAGCGGAAUUCCUAGUGGAGCGGUAAAAUGCGCAGAUAUUAGGAAGAACACCGGUGGCGAAGGCGGCUAUCUGGACAGUAACUGACGCUGAGGCGCGAAAGCGUGGGGAGCGAACAGGAUUAGAUACCCUGGUAGUCCACGCGGUAACGAUGAAUGCUAGGUGUUGCGGGUAUCGACCCCUGCAGUGCCGGAGUAAACACAAUAAGCAUUCCGCCUGGGGAGUACGGCCGCAAGGUUGAAACUCAAAGGAAUUGGCGGGG
rnacentral:rRNA from 1 species